rnacentral:piRNA from 1 species
UUGAAAUUCAAAUGGUGGCAGCUAUGAGU